rnacentral:lncRNA from 1 species
AGUAUUAGAAAAAUAAGUAUUAGAUUAAAAACAUCACGUAAAUGUGAAUACAACAGAACGAACACGUGGAGCGCGCGGCGGACUGUGGAGUGACUCGCGCGCUGCUGUAUUUAUAGAGUCUCCGCGUCUGCACUGUCAAUAAUGACGCGUCACAGCAAGUGAGUGCGUCUGACUACCAGUGGUGAGGUCCUGAAGAAAAAAAACUGGUUUACUGUUACCCAGCCGCUCAAGUAGAUAUAACUGCUAGUGCAUGGGGCGUCAGGGACGUGUCCAAGACAUGCUUUUUAGUGUUGCUUCCAUGAGACUUGUGUUUGCAGGACAUAAACUACAGUUUAUGAAGAACGUGACCCUGAGACGCAGUUUCAACGUUUCAAAUGCAGGCAUUAUUGUGGUCUCAUGGAAAGGAUUUCAGGAACACCUUGGACUGUGAUAAUGGAACAUGCAGCAAAAUUUGAUUUCCCUCCAUUCCCGGAGGCUUUCCGGAGCAAGAAAUGCGUAAAGAUACAGUUUAGAUAAGAAUAUAGGUCUAAUGUUCUGUAAUGCAAUAUUGUAAUGCAUUAAACGUAGACUAACUUUCCUCAACACUGUGUAAAACACAAAACAAGGAAGUGCAAAGUUAAAACACCUGUAAAACAUGACAACAAUCAAUAGAGAAAAUUCAUAUUAAAACAGUACAUUGUGCGCUAUUUUCUGGACAUUUUCACAGUAUGUUCUACUGGUUGAGCUAGAGGAAGACAAAUAAAUAAAUCUCUUAAACAGAACUGAAAUUCCUGGGAACCUGAUCAAAUGUCUUCAAUGCAAUGUAAGUUGCUUUGGAUAAAAGAAUCUGGCAAAUGCAUAAAGAAAAAUUUAUAUUAAUUGGGAGCAAAUAGGAAUUUUCCCCACGCCUCCUGCUUCUCAGAUUGUUUUUUUUUUUCUUUGGAAAAUAUUUCUUCCACAGUUACCAAAGAGAUCUCACAUUAUAGCAAUAUCAACAAGCUGAUUGACUGCACCACAUCUUCAUACAGUACCACAAAAUUGCAGGCCGUCACCCAAGCACUUUCCUCGGCUCAUUAAGCAUGUGAAAUCUAUCUCUGAGUCAACUUUAUCCAAAGUGGAUCUGGAGAGGAAAUGAAAGUGGAUGAGCAGGAUGAAUGUGCCGGAAUUAAGUGCUUUGGAACCUAAAGCACAGUCAGUCACAAGUUUCAUACAUAUAAGGUCAUUUAGCUGGCACUUUGGUCCAAAGCAAGUGUCACAGCAUUUAUUAUAGGAGCGAAUCCCACUGGAGCAACAUGAGAUGAGGUGUUUUUCUCAGUGGUGACGAGUGAUGGCUAAUCCCCCGUGGAGAUCGAACUGUCAUUCUUCUGACUUCCAGCCCAGGGCUUUAACCAAUAUGCCACAUCUUCAGGUUUUUUUGCUAAUAGCUGUAAAUGGACUAAGUACUGCAGUGACUAAUGACUUCACUGGUCUCUAGUGAGGAGAGUAAGAUAAACGAUCAACUAUCACGAUGUCAUCGGCUUUUAGGCCCACAAAAUACACCACGGGUGAAAUUUCACUCAUCCAUUUGCCUUAUGAGAAGAAAUAAUCGGAUAUUAAAGGGAAGCAAACACGCACACGCAGAAAAUGCAUUUUAAAAACAAACUAGACUUUAUAUUUUCUAAAGACAAUCUGAGUGCAAGUUUCAAAUCUGAUAACUGUAUAUGACUCUGUACCUGUUUUAUCAUCUACCAGAAAGAAUUUGUAAAAGUAUCAGAAGCAUUGUUUUAAAUGUGAAGUUGAAUCAAUCUUUGACAUAUUAAUGACAGUGAUGCUGACAAAAUAUUUUCGAUUUUGAUUUACAUGGUGAAAAUAAUCAUCCUAUACUCUCAGAAAAAAACUUUCAAAAGCUUUGUAUAUAAGCUUUUUUUAUAAGUAUAUAUAUUUCCUUUUUCUCACCCUGUUAUAUAUACAUAUAUAUAAAAAACAUAUUUUAGGUAUGUUAAAACAUUUUAACAUUUUUUUUCUAGCUAAUAAUGGGCUGUUAAGGACCACCCUGUUACACAAUAUUGCUCUGUUUAAGAUAAAAUAAUAAAAACUGCACUGUAAAAGGCCAUGUAACAGGUUGGAUAAAUUUCCUGAUAAGCAAUCAAUAAACUGAAAUGGAAAUUACAUGUAAUAAAUAAAAAUAAACACACAUUAAAUGUUCUUUUUUUCAACAAUCCUUCUCAAUCCAAAAUCAACUAAUCUGUUAGAGUUACCCCAAAACAAAUGAUAAUCUGACUCGAUACUGAACUGAUAUAAAAGUGAUAUAAAAACCUCCAGCCAUUUUCUCCAAGGGAAACAUAACUUAAAAAGACCUUUAGAUUUAUAGGCAUCAGAAAUGUAGAUGGAAACCUGGCCUCAGAGAGUAAAAAGAGUUUGAAGCUUGAACAUUUGAUGUGCA